rnacentral:rRNA from 1 species
UACGUAGGGGGCUAGCGUUGUCCGGAAUCAUUGGGCGUAAAGAGCGUGUAGGCGGCCCGGUAAGUCCGCUGUGAAAGUCCAGGGCUCAACCCUGGAAUGCCGGUGGAAACUGUCGGGCUAGAGUCCGGAAGAGGCGAGUGGAAUUCCUGGUGUAGCGGUGAAAUGCGCAGAUAUCAGGAGGAACACCAAUGGCGAAGGCAGCUCGCUGGGACGGUACUGACGCUGAGACGCGAAAGCGUGGGGAGCAAACAGG